rnacentral:rRNA from 1 species
GUUUGAUCCUGGCUCAGGAUGAACGCUAGCGGCAGGCCUAAUACAUCGCAAGCGAACGGUGUCUUCGGACAUAGUGGCGCACGGGUGCGUAACACGUAUGCAACCUACCUUACAUUGGGGGAUAGCCUUUCGAAAGGGAGAUUAAUACCGCAUAAGACAGUAACUAGGCAUCUAGUAGCUGUUAAAGAUUUAUCGAUGUAAGCUGGGCAUGCGUCCAAUUAGCUAGUUGGUGAGGUAAUGGCUCACCAAGGCAAUGAUUGGUAGGGGAACUGAGAGGUCAAUCCCCCACACUGGCACUGAGAUACGGGCCAGACUCCUACGGGAGGCAGCAGUAGGGAAUAUUGGGCAAUGGACGCAAGUCUGACCCAGCCAUGCCGCGUGCAGGAUGAAGGCGUUAUGCGUUGUAAACUGCUUUUAUACAGGAAGAAACGACUCUUGCGAGAGGCAUUGACGGUACUGUAUGAAUAAGCACCGGCUAACUCCGUGCCAGCAGCCGCGGUAAUACGGAGGGUGCAAGCGUUGUCCGGAUUUAUUGGGUUUAAAGGGUGCGCAGGUGGUUUAUUAAGUCAGUGGUGAAAGACGGUCGCUCAACGAUUGCAGUGCCAUUGAAACUGGUAGACUUGAGUAAAGUAGAGGUGGGCGGAAUUGAUAGUGUAGCGGUGAAAUGCAUAGAUAUUAUCAAGAACUCCAAUUGCGUAGGCAGCUCACUUGGCUUUUACUGACACUCAUGCACGAAAGUGCGGGUAUCAAACAGGAUUAGAUACCCUGGUAGUCCACACUGUAAACGAUGAUAACUAGGUGUCGGCCGAAUCUGGUCGGUGCACAGCGAAAGCGUUAAGUUAUCCACCUGGGGAGUACGCCGGCAACGGUGAAACUCAAAGGAAUUGACGGGGUCCGCACAAGCGGUGGAGCAUGUGGUUUA